UACGGGGGGGGCAAGCGUUGUUCGGAAUUACUGGGCGUAAAGGGCUCGUAGGCGGCCAACUAAGUCAGACGUGAAAUCCCCGGGCUCAACCUGGGAAUUGCAUUCGAUACUGGAUAGCUAGAGUUCGGCAGAGGGAAGCGGAAUUUCGGGUGUAGCGGUGAAAUGCGUAGAUAUCCGAAGGAACAUCAGUGGCGAAAGCGGCUUCCUGGACCAGAACUGACGAUCAGGCACGAAAGCGUGGGGAGCAAACAGG
rnacentral:rRNA from 1 species